UGCCCAGCAACUCCUAUCUCUACCUCCUCGUGGUACCAGCCGGAAACUAUGAGCAACCUUAGGGAAGA
rfam:Aedes albopictus isolate Foshan contig24833, whole genome shotgun sequence.